ensembl:lncRNA
CAUGCCUUUCUCCAAAGGAUCUUCCUGACCCAAGGAUGGAACCUGGGUCUCCUACAUUGCCAGGUCUCCUGUGUCAUUGAUGUGAUGUUUUGACAUAUGUAUCCAUUGGGAAAUGAUGACCAAAACCAAGGGAAAAGACACAUAAACUGUGGGUAACUAAAGUUGAGAAAGCAAGAAGAAAAGACUGUGUGGGAGAGGAUAUCAUCAGCCUCUAAAUCAAAAGAAAUCCACAAAAGCUGAAAAUAAGAGGAUGAGCAAAAAAAAACAAAUCUAAACAGGCAAAUAUAAGCACAAAAGAAAACCUUUCCAACUGUUGUUUAAUGACAUGAACACAAAAGAGAUACCACAACUUGAGAAAGCUGGUCCCCCAAAGAAAGUUAUAGACACAUCUGAGUUACAAGCAGAAUUUAGCCACAAAUAUCAGCUAACUGAAACACAUUGAUUAACUGAAAGAAGUUACACUAUGACUGCAAGCAG